AGGUAACAUCAAAUCGUACCCCAAACCGACACAGGUGGUCAGGUAGAGAAUACCAAGGCGCUUGAGAGAACUCGGGUGAAGGAACUAGGCAAAAUGGUGCCGUAACUUCGGGAGAAGGCACGCUGACACGUAGGUGAAGUGGUUUACCCAUGGAGCUGAAGUCAGUCGAAGAUACCAGCUGGCUGCAACUGUUUAUUAAAAACACAGCACUGUGCAAACACGAAAGUGGACGUAUACGGUGUGACGCCUGCCCGGUGCCGGAAGGUUAAUUGAUGGGGUCAGCGCAAGCGAAGCUCCUGAUCGAAGCCCCGGUAAACGGCGGCCGUAACUAUAACGGUCCUAAGGUAGCGAAAUUCCUUGUCGGGUAAGUUCCGACCUGCACGAAUGGCGUAAUGAUGGCCAGGCUGUCUCCACCCGGGACUCAGUGAAAUUGAACUCGCUGUGAAGAUGCAGUGUACCCGCGGCAAGACGGAAAGACCCCGUGAACCUUUACUAUAGCUUGACACUGAACACUGGUCCUUGAUGUGCAGGAUAGGUGGGAGGCUUUGAAGUGUGGACGCCAGUCUGCAUGGAGCCAUCCUUGAAAUACCACCCUUUAAUGGCUGGUGUUCUAACGUGGGCCCGUGAACCGGGUUGCGGACAGUGUCUGGUGGGUAGUUUGACUGGGGCGGUCUCCUCCUAAAGAGUAACGGAGGAGCACGAAGGUUGGCUAAUCCUGGUCGGACAUCAGGAGGUUAGUGCAAUGGCAUAAGCCAGCUUGACUGCGAGCGUGACGGCGCGAGCAGGUGCGAAAGCAGGUCAUAGUGAUCCGGUGGUUCUGAAUGGAAGGGCCAUCGCUCAACGGAUAAAAGGUACUCCGGGGAUAACAGGCUGAUACCGCCCAAGAGUUCAUAUCGACGGCGGUGUUUGGCACCUCGAUGUCGGCUCAUCACAUCCUGGGGCUGAAGUAGGUCCCAAGGGUAUGGCUGUUCGCCAUUUAAAGUGGUACGCGAGCUGGGUUUAGAACGUCGUGAGACAGUUCGGUCCCUAUCUGCCGUGGGCGCUGGAAGAUUGAGGGGGGCUGCUCCUAGUACGAGAGGACCGGAGUGGACGCAUCACUGGUGUUCGGGUUGUCAUGCCAAUGGCACUGCCCGGUAGCUACAUGCGGAAGAGAUAAGUGCUGAAAGCAUCUAAGCACGAAACUUGCCCCGAGAUGAAUCUUCCCUGAGCCUUUAAGGCUCCUGAAGGAACGUUGAAGACGACGACGUUGAUAGGCCGGGUGUGUAAGCGCAGCGAUGCGUUGAGCUAACCGGUACUAAUGAACCGUGAGGCUUAACCUUACA
rnacentral:rRNA from 1 species